rnacentral:rRNA from 1 species
UACAGAGGUCUCAAGCGUUGUUCGGAUUCAUUGGGCGUAAAGGGUGCGUAGGCGGCGCGGUAAGUCGGGUGUGAAAUCUCGGAGCUUAACUCCGAAACUGCAUUCGAUACUGCCGUGCUUGAGGACUGGAGAGGAGACUGGAAUUUACGGUGUAGCGGUGAAAUGCGUAAAUAUCGUAAGGAAGACCAGUGGCGAAGGCGGGUCUCUGGACAGUUCCUGACGCUGAGGCACGAAGGCCAGGGGAGCGAACGGG